rnacentral:rRNA from 1 species
AGAGUUUGAUCCUGGCUCAGAGCGAACGCUGGCGGCAUGCUUAACACAUGCAAGUCGCACGAAGGUUUCGGCCUUAGUGGCGGACGGGUGAGUAACGCGUAGGAAUCUAUCCAUGGGUGGGGGAUAACUCUGGGAAACUGGAGCUAAUACCGCAUGAUACCUGAGGGUCAAAGGCGCAAGUCGCCUGUGGAGGAGCCUGCGUUCGAUUAGCUUGUUGGUGGGGUAAUGGCCUACCAAGGCGAUGAUCGAUAGCUGGUCUGAGAGGAUGAUCAGCCACACUGGGACUGAGACACGGCCCAGACUCCUACGGGAGGCAGCAGUGGGGAAUAUUGGACGAUGGGGGCAACCCUGAUCCAGCAAUGCCGCGUGUGUGAAGAAGGUUUUCGGAUUGUAAAGCACUUUCGGCGGGGACGAUGAUGACGGUACCCGCAGAAGAAGCCCCGGCUAACUUCGUGCCAGCAGCCGCGGUAAUACGAAGGGGGCUAGCGUUGCUCGGAAUGACUGGGCGUAAAGGGCGUGUAGGCGGUUUGUACAGUCAGAUGUGAAAUCCCCGGG